AUUAGAGUUUGAUCCUGGCUCAGGACGAACGCUGGCGGCGUGCCUAAUACAUGCAAGUCGAGCGGACCGAACGGGAGCUUGCUCUCGUUUGGUCAGCGGCGGACGGGUGAGUAACACGUGGGCAACCUGCCCGCAAGACCGGGAUAACUCCGGGAAACCGGAGCUAAUACCGGAUAACACCGAAGACCGCAUGGUCUUUGGUUGAAAGGCGGCCCUUGGCUGUCACUUGCGGAUGGGCCCGCGGCGCAUUAGCUAGUUGGUGAGGUAACGGCUCACCAAGGCGACGAUGCGUAGCCGGCCUGAGAGGGUGGACGGCCACACUGGGACUGAGACACGGCCCAGACUCCUACGGGAGGCAGCAGUAGGGAAUCUUCCGCAAUGGGCGAAAGCCUGACGGAGCGACGCCGCGUGAGCGAAGAAGGCCUUCGGGUCGUAAAGCUCUGUUGUGAGGGACGAAGGAGCGCCGUUCGAAGAGGGCGGUGUGGUGACGGUACCUCACGAGAAAGCCCCGGCUAACUACGUGCCAGCAGCCGCGGUAAUACGUAGGGGGCGAGCGUUGUCCGGAAUUAUUGGGCGUAAAGCGCGCGCAGGCGGCCCCUUAAGUCUGAUGUGAAAGCCCACGGCUCAACCGUGGAGGGUCAUUGGAAACUGGGGGGCUUGAGGGCAGGAAAGGAGAGCGGAAUUCCACGUGUAGCGGUGAAAUGCGUAGAGAUGUGGAGGAACACCAGUGGCGAAGGCGGCUCUCUGGCCU
rnacentral:rRNA from 1 species